CUCUAAUACUAAAUCAGAUUAUAUAUUUUAGGGAAUAUAUACAGUAUUUGUAUUAGUUAUUAAAGGAAGUUUGUUCCUUCUUAAAUGUAAGUUUAAGUAAAUAUUUUUAUAAAGAUUUGUGUGUUAGUAGUGAAAAGUGAAUAUAUGCAAAUCUU
ncrna:unclassified sequences RT-14 RNA